rnacentral:rRNA from 1 species
UGCGCAGGCGGCCAGGUGUGUCAGGUGUGAAAGCCCGGGGCUUAACCCCGGAAUUGCGCCUGAAACUACUUGGCUAGAGCAUUGGAGAGGGUAGCAGAAUUCACGGUGUAGCAGUGAAAUGCGUAGAUAUCGUGAGGAAUACCAGAGGCGAAGGCGGCUACCUGGACAAUUGCUGACGCUCAGGCACGAAAGCGUGGGGAGCAAAAGGGAUUAGAUACCCCUGUAGUCCACGCCCUAAACGGUGCACACUAGGUCUUGGCGGAUUCGACCCCCCCAGGGCCCAAGCUAACGCGUUAAGUGUGCCGCCUGAGGACUACGGCCGCAAGGCUAAA